GACCUCGUUGCUCAGUGGAUGCAGCGUAGGAAGUGUCCAUGUGUGGGUUCGAAUCCCAUCGAGGUUA
rnacentral:tRNA from 1 species